rnacentral:rRNA from 1 species
AACGAACGCUGGCGGCAGGCCUAACACAUGCAAGUUGAGCGCCCCGCAAGGGGAGCGGCAGACGGGAGAGUAACACGUGGGAACGUACCCUUCAGUUCGGAACAACCCAGGGAAACUUGGGCUAAUACCGGAUACGUCCGUAAGGAGAAAGAUUUAUCGCUGAAGGAUCGGCCCGCGUCCGAUUAGCUAGUUGGUGAGGUAACGGCUCACCAAGGCGACGAUCGGUAGCUGGUCUGAGAGGAUGAUCAGCCUCACUGGGACUGAGACACGGCCCAGACUCCUACGGGAGGCAGCAGUGGGGAAUAUUGGACAGUGGGCGCAAGCCUGAUCCAGCCAUGCCGCGUGGAUGAUGAAGGCCCUAGGGUUGUAAAGUCCUUUCGGCGGGGAAGAUAAUGACGGUACCCGCAGAAGAAGCCCCGGCUAACUUCGUGCCAGCCGCCGCGGUAACAC